AUCCGUCUGACGAGUCUCAAAUAAGGUGAAACGCUUGUCCUGGAU
rfam:Schistosoma mansoni strain Puerto Rico chromosome 1, complete genome